UUUAUGGAGAGUUUGAUCCUGGCUCAGGAUGAACGCUGGCGGCGUGCCUAAUACAUGCAAGUCGAGCGAACGGACGAGAAGCUUGCUUCUCUGAUGUUAGCGGCGGACGGGUGAGUAACACGUGGAUAACCUACCUAUAAGACUGGGAUAACUUCGGGAAACCGGAGCUAAUACCGGAUAAUAUUUUGAACCGCAUGGUUCAAAAGUGAAAGACGGUCUUGCUGUCACUUAUAGAUGGAUCCGCGCUGCAUUAGCUAGUUGGUAAGGUAACGGCUUACCAAGGCAACGAUGCAUAGCCGACCUGAGAGGGUGAUCGGCCACACUGGAACUGAGACACGGUCCAGACUCCUACGGGAGGCAGCAGUAGGGAAUCUUCCGCAAUGGGCGAAAGCCUGACGGAGCAACGCCGCGUGAGUGAUGAAGGUCUUCGGAUCGUAAAACUCUGUUAUUAGGGAAGAACAUAUGUGUAAGUAACUGUGCACAUCUUGACGGUACCUAAUCAGAAAGCCACGGCUAACUACGUGCCAGCAGCCGCGGUAAUACGUAGGUGGCAAGCGUUAUCCGGAAUUAUUGGGCGUAAAGCGCGCGUAGGCGGUUUUUUAAGUCUGAUGUGAAAGCCCACGGCUCAACCGUGGAGGGUCAUUGGAAACUGGAAAACUUGAGUGCAGAAGAGGAAAGUGGAAUUCCAUGUGUAGCGGUGAAAUGCGCAGAGAUAUGGAGGAACACCAGUGGCGAAGGCGACUUUCUGGUCUGUAACUGACGCUGAUGUGCGAAAGCGUGGGGAUCAAACAGGAUUAGAUACCCUGGUAGUCCACGCCGUAAACGAUGAGUGCUAAGUGUUAGGGGGUUUCCGCCCCUUAGUGCUGCAGCUAACGCAUUAAGCACUCCGCCUGGGGAGUACGACCGCAAGGUUGAAACUCAAAGGAAUUGACGGGGACCCGCACAAGCGGUGGAGCAUGUGGUUUAAUUCGAAGCAACGCGAAGAACCUUACCAAAUCUUGACAUCCUUUGACAACUCUAGAGAUAGAGCUUUCCCCUUCGGGGGACAAAGUGACAGGUGGUGCAUGGUUGUCGUCAGCUCGUGUCGUGAGAUGUUGGGUUAAGUCCC
rnacentral:rRNA from 1 species